rnacentral:rRNA from 1 species
UACGUAGGGGGCAAGCGGUUGUCCGGAUUAUUGGGCGUAAAGAGCGUGUAGGCGGUUUGGUAGGUCCGCUGUGAAAACUCGAGGCUCAACCUCGAGACGCCGGUGGAAACCAUCAGACUAGAGUCCGGAAGAGGAGAGUGGAAUUCCUGGUGUAGCGGUGAAAUGCGCAGAUAUCAGGAAGAACACCCGUGGCUAAGGCGGCUCUCUAGUACGGUACUGACGCUGAGACGCGAAAGCGUGGGGAGCGAACGG